CGUAAUCUAAAAAUAAAUUCUAAAUUAGUUAAGGAAAGAGCCUACCAAACAAUAGUCGGACCAAAACUAGAAUACUGCUGUACAGUUUGGGAUCCAUAUACCUUAGAAAAUAUAUAUAAGUUGGAACAAGUACAAAGAAGAGCUGCAAGAUAUACUUGCAACAGAUAUCACAAUACCAGCAGUGUAUCUGAAAUGAUAGAACAUCUAAAAUGGCAAUCCUUACAAGAACGCAGACUAAAAACCAGACUCCAAAUGUUGCACAAAGUCAUCAACAAUGAAAUUGCAAUACCAUCGCAAGAUAUACUCAUAAAAAGCCAGUCUAAAACAAGAACUACCAUCAACAGACAUACAGACAACUUCAGUGUAACAAAGACACCUUUAAAUUUUCUUUUUUCAGCCAAACAAUCAAAGAUUGGAACAAAUUACCACCCGAUAUCUCAAACCAAACCUCUACAGACAACUUUAAGGAUGCACUCACUCAUGAGGUGCUCCUUAAAACAUACUCUCAUCUGAACUAGAUGUGCUUAUUGUUUUUAUCUUAUAGUUAUAAAAAAAAUAUAUAUAAAAAAUGUAAAAAUUGAAACUUAAAAAAUUGUAAAUCUCAUAAAUAAAUAAAAGUAAUAAAAAAAAAAAAGGAAAUUAACUUAAAGCGACCUCAUACAGGCAUGCGCCGGAAAGUAAUCCUCAAAAAGUUGAUGGUAUUCCGUAACUAAAGAAGAA
rnacentral:lncRNA from 1 species